GGGUCCGUAGCUCAACCUGGCUAGAGCACAAGACUCUUAAUCUUGGGGUUGCGGGUUCGAAUCCCGUCGGACCCA
rnacentral:tRNA from 1 species